UACGGGGGGGGCAAGCGUUGUUCGGAAUUACUGGGCGUAAAGGGCUCGUAGGCGGCCAACUAAGUCAGACGUGAAAUCCCUCGGCUUAACCGGGGAACUGCGUCUGAUACUGGAUGGCUUGAGGUUGGGAGAGGGAUGCGGAAUUCCAGGUGUAGCGGUGAAAUGCGUAGAUAUCGAGAGGAACACCUGCGGCGAAGGCGGGUUGCUGGGCAGUAACUGACGCUGAGGAGCGAAAGCAUGGGGAGCGAACAGG
rnacentral:rRNA from 1 species